UCCAAGCCCGGAUGUGUUUUCCAACCUUU
rnacentral:piRNA from 1 species